rnacentral:rRNA from 1 species
CGCUAGCUACAGGCUUAACACAUGCAAGUCGACCUUCAGCAUGGUCUUAGCUUGCUAAGGCCGAUGGCGACCGGCGCACGGGUGAGUAACACGUAUCCAACCUGCCGUCUACUCUUGGACAGCCUUCUGAAAGGAAGAUUAAUACAAGAUGGCAUCAUGAGUCCGCAUGUUCACAUGAUUAAAGGUAUUCCGGUAGACGAUGGGGAUGCGUUCCAUUAGAUAGUAGGCGGGGUAACGGCCCACCUAGUCUUCGAUGGAUAGGGGUUCUGAGAGGAAGGUCCCCCACAUUGGAACUGAGACACGGUCCAAACUCCUACGGGAGGCAGCAGUGAGGAAUAUUGGUCAAUGGGCGAGAGCCUGAACCAGCCAAGUAGCGUGAAGGAUGACUGCCUUAUGGGUUGUAAACUUCUUUUAUAAAGGAAUAAAGUCGGGUAUGGAUACCCGUUUGCAUGUACUUUAUGAAUAAGGAUCGGCUAACUCCGUGCCAGCAGCCGCGGUAAUACGGAGGAUUCGAGCGUUAUCCGGAUUUAUUGGGUUUAAAGGGAGCGUAGAUGGAUGUUUAAGUCAGUUGUGAAAGUUUGCGGCUCAACCGUAAAAUUGCAGUUGAUACUGGAUAUCUUGAGUGCAGUUGAGGCAGGCGGAAUUCGUGGUGUAGCGGUGAAAUGCUUAGAUAUCACGAAGAACUCCGAUUGCGAAGGCAGCCUGCUAAGCUGCAACUGACAUUGAGGCUCGAAAGUGUGGGUAUCAAACAGGAUUAGAUACCGAGGUAGUCCACACGGUAAACGAUGAAUACUCGCUGUUUGCGAUAUACGGCAAGCGGCCAAGCGAAAGCGUUAAGUAUUCCACCUGGGGAGUACGCCGGCAACGGUGAAACUCAAAGGAAUUGACGGGGGCCCGCACAAGCGGAGGAACAUGUGGUUUAAUUCGAUGAUACGCGAGGAACCUUACCCGGGCUUAAAUUGCAGAUGAAUUACGGUGAAAGCCGUAAGCCGCAAGGCAUCUGUGAAGGUGCUGCAUGGUUGUCGUCAGCUCGUGCCGUGAGGUGUCGGCUUAAGUGCCAUAACGAGCGCAACCCUUGUUGUCAGUUACUAACAGGUUCUGCUGAGGACUCUGACAAGACUGCCAUCGUAAGAUGUGAGGAAGGUGGGGAUGACGUCAAAUCAGCACGGCCCUUACGUCCGGGGCUACACACGUGUUACAAUGGGGGGUACAGAGGGCCGCUACCACGCGAGUGGAUGCCAAUCCCAAAAACCUCUCUCAGUUCGGACUGGAGUCUGCAACCCGACUCCACGAAGCUGGAUUCGCUAGUAAUCGCGCAUCAGCCACGGCGCGGUGAAUACGUUCCCGGGCCUUGUACGCACCGCCCGUCAAGCCAUGGGAGCCGGGGGUACCUGAAGUGCGUAACCGCGAGGAGCGCCCUAGGGUA